rnacentral:tRNA from 1 species
GUAGGAUGGCCGAGCAGGUGGUAAGCUGUAGACUUAUUUACGGAGGUGAGAGUCCCCCUACUAUA